GACGAACGCUGGCGGCGUGCCUAAUACAUGCAAGUCGAGCAAAGUUUUUCUGGUGCUUGCACUAGAAAAACUUAGCGGCGAACGGGUGAGUAACACGUAAAGAACCUGCCUCAUAGACUGGGACAACUAUUGGAAACGAUAGCUAAUACCGGAUAACAGUAUUUCUCGCAUGAGAGAUAUUUAAAAGUUGGUUAUGCUAACACUAUGAGAUGGCUUUGCGGUGCAUUAGCUAGUUGGUGGGGUAAAGGCCCACCAAGGCGACGAUGCAUAGCCGACCUGAGAGGGUGAUCGGCCACACUGGGACUGAGACACGGCCCAGACUCCUACGGGAGGCAGCAGUAGGGAAUCUUCCGCAAUGGGCGAAAGCCUGACGGAGCAACGCCGCGUGAGUGAAGAAGGAUUUCGGUUCGUAAAGCUCUGUUGUUAGGGAAGAAUGGAUAUGUAGUAACUAUACAUGUAAGAGACGGUACCUAACCAGAAAGCCACGGCUAACUACGUG
rnacentral:rRNA from 1 species